CGCUCGCACACCGAAAGCAGCGAGAGGACACGCGCGAACGAGUGAGAAACGAGAAGUAAAUCUCCGUUGGUUUAUUGCACACAAGUCGGUUGUAAACAUUAAAAGUGUUCGGAAGUGAUACCGGAAGUGACCGAGACGACCGGAAGCCCGUUGAUGUGGUUUUACUGUAUUGUGUGGACCGUCUUGGCUAGGUGUUUGACACCGCUGGAAACCCCUCGGAUUCUGGAAACUGGACAUGGGAUUUUUCUCCCCGAGGAGGGAGAUGGCGAGCCAGUGAGAGAUCUGAUUGUUUCUUCCAUCAGAGAGGGAACUCAUCCAUUCCUUCUCCAUUGUACAAGUUCACCGAUGUGGUGAACUUCAGAGCUUUUCCUCCAUCAUAAAUGACCAACUGUCAGGGGCAGAGGCGACAGAGGCUCGUCUGGUGUGUCACCACAUCUCCAUUAUGGAUCAUAAAUACAAAGUAGAUGAUAAGACACGCUGAGCAUGUGCCUGUGACUGUAAGUGUUUCACCUUGUUAACGUCCAUAUGAUGUUUUUAUAUAAUACAAGACAUAUGAGCGAAAUAAACAGUCGGCACCAUGA